GCACCCGGACCGCGCCAGCUCGGCUGUGGUGGAACAGGAACGUCUUGCCUUGGGUGGUAGCCAUGGGAGGGGGCUGUUUCAGCCUGGCCCUCACGUGGCUGCACAUCGUUCGGCAUGACUGAAACUGGCCAGAAAUAAAAUGACCUUAAAGAUGGUGGUGAUGAGAAGCAGCCUUGAAUCUUCUGCCGAGCAACUUCUGUCACCUGGGGAAGGUCCACAGAAAAAUAAUGUCAGACGCACAGCAACACAGUAAAAAUUCUGGGCCCUCCCCAUUGAUGUUGCAAUGGAAAUGCCAUAAGGGGUCGCCCAGGGAAUAUCCUCUGUGCAGGUGCCCCUGUGCUGGUGCAGAGCCAGCACCAUCAGCUUUGUGCUGCCUCCGCAGCAACCCUGGGCAAAGGGAUGUUCCAAAGCAGAAGUGAAUUAUGGACAGAUUAGAGGAAGGAAGAGGCAUGGAUGGGGCCUGCACCCCAGCAAUUCUGCACCUUGCAAUCUACCACCAUAGAAGAAGAGUUUGAAAAAGAACCAGGCUUUGGUUCUUGCUGUUGGGGGUGCAUUGACCUGAGAAGCACUUAUAGACCAAAGCUGUGUCAAGGGAAAGCUCAGACUGUCCAUGCAGCGAUCACUGCGCUAUCUCAGAUGUUUCUGUGGCUGUCUUUGCCAGUCAUGUGCCAUCCCCUAUAGUGAACACAGAAUCCUAUUGUGCUCAGCACCCAAUUCAGUAAUAAACCACCAGGCUUGCUCCAUCCAUCAGUCAUAAAGCAAGCAACACGACGACUUAGGUAUGGUACUUCCACAGGCCCCCGUUGCCAGAGCAAUCUGAGCCCCUCACAAUGAUGUAUCCUCACUGCAUCCUGGGGAGGUGGGGAAGUGCUUUGGACUCUGAUGACUGCUUACCAGCUGGACUAUGUUCUGAACCAGGUUCUUGGUCACUGUGAACUAACGAAUACGCGGAUGGUGCAAGAAUAUAGAUAUGGAUGAAAGACUCUUUAGGAUGUAACGCUGUUAGUGGUGAGUGGCAUCAUUCGAGCCUACGUCAAGGAGAACACCUGUGUCUGGAUGGAAGCCAGCAGUCAUUUAAUAAGCCUAUUUUGGGAAAAGUUCUUCCCCCUGUGCCUUAAGUGACAUGGUUAAUGCUGCUUCCUCAGAAGGUUACUCUGUCAUCUUAAUAUUUCUCUUAUGUCAUCUUUUUGCUUUUUUUUUUCUUCCAGAUUUUGAUUAGUUUUUCCUUCAACAUGGGGGAAGAUGUCUGAUUCUAGAGGACCUUUUUAAUUUGGCAGAUAGGAGAAUAACAAGGUCCAGUAGCCGGAAGUUGAAGCUGAACAAAUUCAAACUGGAAAUGAUGCCUAUAUUUUUAAGUAAGGGUUAUUAGCUAUUGGAACAACUUACCAAGGGAUGUAAUGGAGACCCCAUCACCUGAAGUCUUUAAAUCAAGAUUUAAGGGACAGAUUCUCAGCUGGUGUAAAUUGUCAUAGCUCUGACGUCAGUGGAGCUAAGACAGUUUGCACCAGCUAAGAAUCUGGACCUUGACGUCUUUCUAAAAUAUGUGCUCUUGGCCAACUGCAAGUUAUUUGACUCAGUGCCAGAAUUACUGGGUGAAACUGUCCAGCCUGUGUUAUACAGGAAGUCAGAUUAGAUGAUCACAAUGGUCUCUUCUGACUUUAGAAUCUGUGGAUUGUUGCUAGGAUAAACUCUAAAAGGUGAUGCUGUACCUUGAUAGAUUGGUAUUGCCAGACAUCUUCAGAGAGGAGCUAGUAGCAGUCAUUGCUUUCAUCUUAAAUUGUCAGCACGCACCUGAAUUGUUUCUCUUAUUCCUGUAAUGCUGGUAUCUGGUUUUUCAAGGCCUGUGUUUAUUCCUAUGGAAUGUGUAUUUUGCAGACUUGGCUCAUUCUUGGAGCAUCCUCUGGUAUGUAAAGCUGUACCAGUUAUUUUGUAAUAUGAAUACUAAAUAAAUGUGCAUUACUGCAUUUAGCUAAUUA